UCCUGUUUGAUUACCUUGUACCAAAUAUUUGAUCUGCAUCGCAUAUCAUAUAUCUUGCUAGUCAAGAGUAUGACUACAUAGAAUUGUAGGUGUGUGUGUUUGAAAGUAUAAAGGAUAUUGGAGUUAAGAAUAUCUGUUUGCAUGCAUACAUGUUUUUUAUAUAAGUGUGUAUUGUUGACUAAACGGCAUUUGAAAAACACUCAUCCAAUAGGCUGUAGGCAGUAAACGGUGCUUAGACAGCCUAUGAAUUACCAGGGGGCCCAGGAGGCAAAGGGCUCCUAUCUUUGGACAGAGCCCUGCUUAUUUUGCAGUUAACUGAAAGGGCCUCUCUGUCACUUUUGCUUGGCUACAGGGAAUGUCCCUGCACACAAUGCUGUGUGUGUCCUAAAGCUGGAGGGCUACUUCAGGGAGAGCUCUGAAAAGAAUCUUUGUAUUUCAGCCAGGCAAAUGGAUGAAGAAAUAACCCAGGUUCCUUUGGGCUCUUUCCAUCCCACCAAUGCCUCAAGCAGGCCAGGAAGCCCUGGUCCUUCCAAAUCUGUUUCCUGAGCCUUAGGCUUUUCUGGUCCCAAGUUUCACUGUGGAAUUGUCCCAUGAAUGGAGAGAAGCAGCUGCGAUGAAGGCCCUUUCCUGGUGCUUCUAACGAGGCUUUGUCUCAUGAUUGUCUCCCCUGGAAAGCUGCCCAGGCCAGACCCAGAUAUUAGGACCAUGACCUUGCUCUGUGUGUGCAGCCCCUGCCAGGCUACUGGAGCCCACCCCUCCCCAGUCUCAGUCCCACACCCUGGGCCUCCCGCCACACGGGAAGUCCAGCUGCAGGCAUGUGCCAGCCACAGGGCCCCACGUGGCUCCCCACACACCCACAGGGAGGGAGGCUGCCCCCUGGCCCUGGCCCAACCCCUCCCACGCCAUCUGCUCGGAGAUCAGCGGAAUAUGUUUAACAGAACAAUGAACUGGAAUGAGUUUUGAAUCAGCACCAAUUUUCUGCUUACUUUUUUUUUUUAAAGUAAUACAUGUAUAUGGCUUAAAAUUCAAAAGGUGCAAAUGAGCACCCAGUGAAAAAAGGAGUCCCUCCUGCCCCUGAGCCCCAGUGCCCCUCCAGAGACAACCACCGUCAUAUUACCAAAGUACACAGGCACGCGAAUUUCUUUUUCUUAACACAGAAAGUAAAAGCGCGCUGCCCCUUGCUUUUUGCACUUAACAAUACUCUUGGAAAUCUUUCCACAUCAUUUCACAUGCAGCUGCCUCAUUCUUUCAGAGGGCUAAUAUUUCUGUCUUUGGGUGAGUCAUGGAUUUCUUAACCAGUCUCCUAUUCACAGAAACCUAGGCUGCUUCCAGGCUUUUGCUAUUACGUAUUCUGUGGCCAUGACUGACUUAUAAACCAUACCACACCCGUGCAAGCAUAGCCAUGGGAUAAACACCCACGAGGCAGGUAUAUUCUUGAGAACUCCACCACGCUGCCUGGAUUUCUUCAUCUACAACAAGGAGCUCUGCCUUAUUUUCUGCUGGUUACCAUCUCACUGGGGUCAGGGUUAGAACCGUUGAUGAGUCAUAACAAGAACAACGAUUAUUAAAAGCGUCAUAGCACCAACGCUUUGCCCAGCACCAUUCUCUGUAUUCUACAUAUGUUACAGUGUUGAAUCCUCCCCACAGCUCAUGAGAUAGGUUCUAUCAUCCCCUCCUUUAUACAGAUGGAGAAACAAAGGCUCACAGAGGUUAAGUAAAUUGCCCAAGGACGCACAGCUGGGGUCAACCAGCAUCUCCUUCUCCCAGCCUCCUGCAUCUCCCUCCCCAUCCCCUGCGCAGGCUUGGAAUCUCAUCUUGGUAUUUGCGUCUCAGAGGAUCCUAGUUACCACACCUGGAGCUUCCAGAAAUUGAUGGGAGUGCAGCAAACAGCCCCAGUGUUCAUUGCCUGGAGGGCAAGCCCACAGGAUCUUAGUUCUCUGACCAGGGAUCGAACCCGGGCCCACGGCAGUGAAAGCGCCGAGUCCUAACCACUGGACCGCCAGGGAAUUCCCCCGAGCAACUUCUGAAGACCCCAGUGUCCAUUCCGCGUAUGGAUAUUUGGACACGACCCAAAUGGCUUCUCCAUCUAGCCUGAAGGCGGGAGACAAUCCACCACGAUGCUGAGGCUCUGUCACCUGUUCAACAGUGACUGCCCACGCUGCUCCUGAGCCCCUGUGCCUUCUCAGUUUAGCCUCAUGUUCCUAAGACCUGCCUAAGGCAGUGCAAUUUCUGGGGUCCAGAAGCUCCCAGGCUGCUCGAGAGGCUUCGUGCUCAUCCUCACUUGCUUUUCAAUUCACCUUCUCGCUCCCACCCAGCUGAAUCUCUGGUGGCUUCCUAUGGGGCUAGAUGCUUCCUCCACCCUGCAAUGGUGGAGGAAGGUACUGGGUCCCCACCCCGCCUCACUCAUAUUUCUCCUCUGCCUCCACCCACCUUCACCCCUGCACCAGGCCACAUCUCAGAGGCACCCUGUUGAUGCCAGCCCGUCAGAGUACAAAGGCAGACAUUCAAGACAUUGGGCUUGGGGCUUGGUGGCGCAGUGGUUAAGAAUCCGCCUGCCAAUGCAGGGGACACGGGUUCGGGCCCCGGUCCGGGAAGAUUCCCACAUGCCGCGGAGCAACUAAGCCUCUGCGCCACAACUACGGACCCUGCGCUCUAGAGCCCACGAGCCACAACUACUGAGCCCACGUGCCACAACUACUGAAGCCUGCACGCCUAGAGCCCGCACUCCACAACAAGAGAAGCCACGACAAAGAGAAGCCCGCGUACUGCAACGAAGACCCAACACAGCCAUAAAGAAAUAAAUAAGCAACCUCCCUCCCUGAUGACUGGCUCCAGAAGGGGGCGCUCAAGUUUGACCACCUGGAAGCUGGACCCACAUCACACACAACUCUUGCCUAAAAUGGGCCAGUACGGUUCUAGCCGUAUUCACUGAAUAUUAGUUUCAUAAGGAUAAACUUCACAUCAGAUAUGAACUGAUACUGCCACCGAGGAAAGCGACACAUGACCCAAAUAGCUUCUGAACAGCCGUGCUUCAAAUCCUCCAUCCCAUCGCUCCUGUAAGAACGCUUACGUUUUUUUCACGAAUGCUCCUGUUUUUAACUUGGAAAAUAAAGUCACUGUGUUAUGAAAAAUUACCAGGAAUAACUUCUGAAGUUUCAACCCAAGCACAUUAUACAGGAUCCCUUAAUC